UACGUAGGGUGCAAGCGUUAAUCGGAAUUACUGGGCGUAAAGCGUGCGCAGGCGGUUUUGUAAGUCUGUCGUGAAAUCCCCGGGCUCAACCUGGGAAUUGCGAUGGAGACUGCAAGGCUAGAAUCUGGCAGAGGGGGGUAGAAUUCCACGUGUAGCAGUGAAAUGCGUAGAGAUGUGGAGCAACACCGAUGGCGAAGGCAGCCCCCUGGGUCAAGAUUGACGCUCAUGCACGAAAGCGUGGGGAGCAAACAGG
rnacentral:rRNA from 1 species